rnacentral:rRNA from 1 species
ACUUCUUUAUCACCGAGUGCUUGCACUCACCGGUAAAGGGUUGAGUGGCGAACGGGUGAGUAACACGUGGGCAACCUGCCCAAAAGAGGGGGAUAACACUUGGAAACAGGUGCUAAUACCGCAUAACCAUAGUUACCGCAUGGUAGCUAUGUAAAAGGUGGCUAUGCUACCGCUUUUGGAUGGGCCCGCGGCGCAUUAGCUAGUUGGUGGGGUAAAGGCUUACCAAGGCAAUGAUGCGUAGCCGAACUGAGAGGUUGAUCGGCCACAUUGGGACUGAGACACGGCCCAAACUCCUACGGGAGGCAGCAGUAGGGAAUCUUCCACAAUGGGCGAAAGCCUGAUGGAGCAACGCCGCGUGGGUGAAGAAGGUCUUCGGAUCGUAAAACCCUGUUGUUAGAGAAGAAAGUGCGUGAGAGUAACUGUUCACGUUUCGACGGUAUCUAACCAGAAAGCCACGGCUAACUACGUGCCAGCAGCCGCGGUAAUACGUAGGUGGCAAGCGUUAUCCGGAUUUAUUGGGCGUAAAGGGAACGCAGGCGGUCUUUUAAGUCUGAUGUGAAAGCCUUCGGCUUAACCGGAGUAGUGCAUUGGAAACUGGGAGACUUGAGUGCAGAAGAGGAGAGUGGAACUCCAUGUGUAGCGGUGAAAUGCGUAGAUAUAUGGAAGAACACCAGUGGCGAAAGCGGCUCUCUGGUCUGUAACUGACGCUGAGGUUCGAAAGCGUGGGUAGCAAACA